AUCUAAACAAGAACUAUUCAAUAGGAUUAAAUUGCAUUUUUAUCGUUUUGAGCUAUUUAUGGAGGCAGAAGAUAACUUUGCUCUAUAUGGUUAGAUGGAACCUUGUGUGAAGAUCCAUGGAACAUAUUUCACUUUAAUGUUUUCUUUAACGUGCUGUAAUUUGGACUUAACUUCUCUGCAAGUCUAAAUAGAGCUUUCUUCAUGCCUUCCACAAAUGCCAAAUGCAGACUGCAAGACAUGUUCUCCAGAUUUUCGUAUCAUCUGCAAAAAGACACACCUUCUCUUGAAGCCGGCAAGCAAAAUAAUUGAUAACAUGUUAAACAAAACUGGUCCCAGCACUAAACCCUGGGACUCACAAAUCCCAUUCUAUUAAAUAAAAUACUCUACAUUGUAUCCUUAAA